rnacentral:rRNA from 1 species
UACGAAGGGGGCUAGCGUUGCUCGGAAUUACUGGGCGUAAAGGGCGCGUAGGCGGCACUGUUAGUCAGGCGUGAAAGUCCUGGGCUCAACCUGGGAACUGCGCUUGAUACGGCAGAGCUAGAGGAUGGAAGAGGCUCGCGGAAUUCCCAGUGUAGAGGUGAAAUUCGUAGAUAUUCGGAAGAACACCAGUGGCGAAGGCGACUUACUGGACACAUAUUGACGCUGAGGUGCGAAAGCGUGGGGAGCAAACAGG